rnacentral:tRNA from 1 species
GCAGUGGUGGUUGGUGGUAGGAUUCUUGCCUUCCAUGCAGGACGCUUGGGUUUGAUUCCCGGUCAAUGCA